rnacentral:rRNA from 1 species
UCGUCAGCUCGUGCCGUGAGGUGUCGGCUUAAGUGCCAUAACGAGCGCAACCCCUGCGUGUAGUUGCCAUCAGGUGAUGCUGGGCACUCUGCACGGACUGCCACCGUAAGGUGUGAGGAAGGUGGGGAUGACGUCAAAUCAGCACGGCCCUUACGUCUGGGGCUACACACGUGUUACAAUGGGUGGUACAGCGAGUUGUCCGCCGGCAACGUCGGACCAAUCUUGAAAACCAUUCUCAGUUCGGAUUGGGGUCUGCAACCCGACCCCAUGAAGCUGGAUUCGCUAGUAAUCGCGCAUCAGCCAUGGCGCGGUGAAUACGUUCCCGGGCCUUGUACGCACCGCCCGUCAAGCCAUGAAAGCCGGGGGCGCCUGAAGUCCGUUUCCGCGAGGUUCGGCCUAGGGUGAAACUGGUGAUUGGGGCUAAGUCGUAACAAGGUAGCCGUA